UUAUUGGAGAGUUUGAUCCUGGCUCAGGACGAACGCUGGCGGCGUGCCUAAUACAUGCAAGUCGAGCGAGUCCCUUCGGGGGCUAGCGGCGGACGGGUGAGUAACACGUAGGCAACCUGCCCGUAAGCUCGGGAUAACAUGGGGAAACUCAUGCUAAUACCGGAUAGGGUCUUCUCUCGCAUGAGAGGAGACGGAAAGGUGGCGCAAGCUACCACUUACGGAUGGGCCUGCGGCGCAUUAGCUAGUUGGUGGGGUAACGGCCUACCAAGGCGACGAUGCGUAGCCGACCUGAGAGGGUGACCGGCCACACUGGGACUGAGACACGGCCCAGACUCCUACGGGAGGCAGCAGUAGGGAAUUUUCCACAAUGGACGAAAGUCUGAUGGAGCAACGCCGCGUGAAC
rnacentral:ncRNA from 1 species